UCCGGUUUGUCACCGGCAGUCUCGCAUGAGUCCCCAGCAUUACCUGAUGGCAACAUACGACGAGGGUUGCGCUCGUUGCGGGACUUAACCCAACAUCUCACGACACGAGCUGACGACAGCCAUGCAGCACCUGUGUAUCGGCCCGAAGGCGGACCUAUUUCUAGGAUCCUUCCAAUACAUGUCAAAUCUAGGUAAGGUUCUGCGCGUUGCAUCGAAUUAAACCACAUGCUCCACCGCUUGUGCGGGCCCCCGUCAAUUUCUUUGAGUUUUAACCUUGCGGCCGUACUUCCCAGGCGGGAUACUUAACGCGUUAGCUUCGGCACUGAAGGGGUCAAUACCUCCAACACCAAGUAUCCAUCGUUUACGGCGUGGACUAC
rnacentral:misc_RNA from 1 species